rnacentral:lncRNA from 1 species
UUUUGAAUCAACUAACUUUGUGAGGAGUGAUCCUUAGUUAACCCCUUUGAGCUUGUUUUAGGAUUCAUUUGAUUGAUAAGUGUAAAUUCCAUUGAAAAUUUUGCAAAUAAAUGAAUCCUAAUUUCUUUCGUUUCAAUUGAACCUUCAACCGAGUUUGUUUGCAAAUUUUGUCUUUUGCCUAUGUCUAAGUAGGGAGCAUUAUUGAAUAAAUUU